rnacentral:rRNA from 1 species
GAUGAACGCUGGCGGCGUGCCUAAUACGUGCAAGUCGAGCGAACGGACGAGAAGCUUGUUUCUCUGAUGUUAGCGGCGGACGGGUGAGUAACACGUGGAUAACCUACCUAUAAGACUGGGAUAACUUCGUGAAACCGGAGCUAAUACCGGAUAAUAUUUUGAACCGCAUGGUUCAAAAGUGGAAGACGGUCUUGCUGUCACUUAUAGAUGGAUCCGCGCUGCAUUAGCUAGUUGGUAAGGUAACGGCUUACCAAGGCAACGAUGCAUAGCCGACCUGAGAGGGUGAUCGGCCACACUGGAACUGAGACACGGUCCAGACUCCUACGGGAGGCAGCAGUAGGGAAUCUUCCGCAAUGGGCGAAAGCCUGACGGAGCAACGCCGCGUGAGUGAUGAAGGUCUUCGGAUCGUAAAACUCUGUUAUUAGGGAAGAACAUAUGUGUAAGUAACUGUGCACAUCUUGACGGUACCUAAUCAGAAAGCCACGGCUAACUACGUG